rnacentral:rRNA from 1 species
GUGAAAUUGUUGAAAGGGAAACGAUUGAAGUCAGUCAUGCCAGCGAGAAAUCAGCUCACAGGCUACUGUGGGUGCACUUUUUCGCAAGGCAGGUUAACAUCGAUUUUUGUUGGGUCAUAAUGAUUGUAGGAAGGUGGCUCCUUCGGGAGUGUUAUAGCCUACUUUAGAUGGCGUGAUAGAGAUCGAGGAUUGCAGCGAAUGCCUUUAGGCUACGGGAUUGUUUUCUGUCCAAUUUUCAAUUGGACUUCAGCUUGCUGAGGCACGAUUGAAUAAUUGACAAUAGGAUUCUAUCCGAUAAAUUCGCUAAGGAUGUUGACGUAAUGGCUUUAAACGAC